AUUGAACGCUGGCGGCAUGCUUUACACAUGCAAGUCGAACGGCAGCGCGGGCUUCGGCCUGGCGGCGAGUGGCGAACGGGUGAGUAAUACAUCGGAACGUGCCCAGUAGUGGGGGAUAGCUCGGCGAAAGCCGGAUUAAUACCGCAUACGACCUGAGGGUGAAAGCGGGGGAUCUUCGGACCUCGCGCUAUUGGAGCGGCCGAUGGCAGAUUAGCUAGUUGGUGGGGUAAAGGCCUACCAAGGCGACGAUCUGUAGCUGGUCUGAGAGGACGACCAGCCACACUGGGACUGAGACACGGCCCAGACUCCUACGGGAGGCAGCAGUGGGGAAUUUUGGACAAUGGGCGAAAGCCUGAUCCAGCGAUGCCGCGUGUGUGAUGAAGGCAUUCGGGUUGUAAAGCACUUUUGGCGGGAACGAAAAGGACUGUGCCAAUACCACGGUUCGAUGACGGUACCCGCAGAAUAAGCACCGGCUAACUACGUG
rnacentral:rRNA from 1 species